CCUACGGUUGUUUUGUGAUCUUCAUGUUAUUAUUAUUAUUAUACUUUUUAUUCCUGAGCCCUCUUUCUGUUUGAAGAUCUACUUUCCCACUCACAUUCACUGGCCUCAUCUUCUUUUUGAUCAGCCUGAGAAACCAUCUGGAAACAAUUGAGAGUGACGUCACAAAUCCAGCAUUAUGACUUUAGAUGUAGUCUAAAAGAGUAAGAGAAGGAACAAAUGAAAGAGCCAGGAAGGUUGAUUUAACCGUUAAGCCCAAAUAUCAAAUUACCAGUGGGCAUAGAAGGGCUAAAGGGCAUAGGCAAGGACAAUAGACUUGGAAUUUGGAAGAAUUCAUCUCUGCUGAAGAAUUCCCAGAGCACUCAUGAAAACAGCAGGUUGCCUAACUCACCAGAGAGAAACAAUUUGCUCUGACAGCUAUCUCAUUCAGGAGUGAAACGUAUGUUUUUGGCUGGAACAGUCCAUCUCCUGCCUCUGGAUUUCAGCUGGAAGCUAAGGGAGCUACACAAGUCCAGGGAGUUCUUCAGCUCUGGCAGAGCCGUAAGGACUUUCCUGUGGAGAAAUCACAGAGCAGCAACUGCACGUUUCCCCCUGCUCUUUAAAUAAGCCGUCCUCCAUUUUCUGGGAUCGUUCCCAAAUACAAUAUACUAUAAUUGUAUAUCUUUUUUUCCUGCAAAGGUAAUUCAUUUUAAAAUUCCUUGAAUGCUCCUUAAUUUUAAUAUCUUUUCAA
rnacentral:lncRNA from 1 species